UGAGCUGAAAGAGGCAGAACAGAAGACAGAAUCAAUAGUGUGCAAAACACAGAGAGCUUUUCAUUUAAUGCAACAGAAUGCCGAGGUGUGAAGGGAGCUCUGUGUGUUUGCUUUCUGGACUGCAGCCCUGACAGCUGACGUCCAGACUGUUGAGGUGAUUCCACACUUGACUUCCUGCAGUUCUCCCAUCCAUCCAUCUGCUUCCUAUAGCUCUGCUCCAGGUUGGAUCUGCACCAUUCUGUGUUACUGGCUGUUAAAUAUGCUGCAUGCUCAUUUAUACAUGAGGGAAAAGUGAGAGGCAGCAAGAGAUUUUUUAUUUUUCCCUAAAGUAAAAUCAUCCACGGCUCUCUCAUCCCACCCACACUCAAGUGACAGCUGGGAUAGACAGGAAAGGGGGACAGAGAGAGGGGAUGACACGCAGCAAAGGACCACAGGUCGGAUUCGAACCCGGGCUGCUGCAGCAACUCCGUACAUGGACUGCCAGCUCUACCGACUGAGCCAACCGGGCGCUCGAUUUCUUACUAUGUUUAAGCAAAAAGAAACUGUUGUUAUUCCCCGAUCAGCAGUUAGAGUAAACAGUGAGAAGCUUGAAGCUGUGAUAAAGCCUGCAGGGGGUAGGAAGGAUUAGAAAUAACUUCCAUUUACACAUUUUAACCCCAGGCUCAUUACAGAAGGAGCAGUGAUGUGAUGAGAAAGGCAACCUCUGGGAGUGCUCCUUGCCCUUUUCGUCCUUGCUGUGACUGACUUUUUUCUUUUUGGAUGUCUGAGGGAUUCUAGGCCUGUGAUUGGUUGAUCAACUAUUCUAAUCAUUCAAACCUACACACUGAAACUUCAAUACAUGUUUUAGCUUACAAAAGACCGUCAUCAAAUUGCAAAUACUUUGCUUAUUACAGCCACCAAUGGAAUUAUUUUUGACAUAGGAGAUCAUGUUGUGAUCUGUGUAACUUUGUCUUGUGUAUAAGCAGCAUUUCAGCACCUUGAGCCACGCUGCCACUACAAUCCUCUAUCACUGUGUACACUCUAAUACCAGAUAGGUUAAUUCAACUUUUACUAAACUGAUUACAUCAAACAUUAGUAAAGUAAAACUAACUCGAUUUUGUAAGUUUAAAACAUUCCUUUUUUAAGUAGCUUUAGUCAUUUUAAGUGACACUGUCUUAGUUUUGGAAUUUUUAUUUGUACUGUGAAAACAAGGAAUAUUUCUGUUACUUACAAAACUAAGUUAGUGUCACUAAAAUUACUAGUAAAAGCUGCUUAAUCAAGAAUCUUUAACUUACAAAAUUGAGUUUGUGAUACGAUGUAAUCCGUAACAAUUUUCUGGAGUUAUAAUAAUUACAGUGAACAUUCUCAUUUCUGUAGUGCUGAAGAGACAGCCUGGUCUACAAAUCUUGUUCUCCAGAUUUUAUUUAUUUGGUACAGACCCCCCACUCCAAAAAACCUUGAAAAUUUCAUUUGUGUCGCAAAAGUGAUCAUUUUCAUUUCUAUCUAUUGUAAUUGCAAUAUCUGUCAAAAUAUUGCAAUAUGAUGUUUUUACCAUGCAGUCCUAACUCAAAUGAGACUCAAAAAUAGAAAUGAUGCUGAAACCUCCUCCCUCUGUGAUCACUAAUCCUGGUGUUAAUGUGUGCCUUCUUGGCCGGGAGGAGGGGGUUGUUAUUGUUUUGGUGUGAUUUCACUGCUCUGUGCAGAUCUACAUGUUAAGUAGGUCAGUAUUACAUGGGCGACAAAGCUUAACCCCAUUCUGCGGCAGCUGGCCAUCGGGCUGUCACUGGUGUCAGAUAAGAGCAAACAUCCUCUCUGCAACAGGGAAGUGAUCACGGGAAUAAUUAACAGGAGGUGAACACUCGAAAUAAACAGGGAACUACGCUAAGCAGGUUUAGUUGCAUUGCCGUGUGAACAGCCAAAUCCAGAAAGGGUGUGUUCGACAACAGAGCUGAGAGACAUGUGAUCUGUUCUCUGCUUACAGUUGUCGUGCUAAGCUAGCUAAGCUAAACACAUCCCACCUGUGUAUAGGAAGUGCAGGGUGCACAAUUUCCAAAAUAUCAGAUUAUUCCUUUAAGAAGAGUGACACUCCUCUUACACAAAUGCGUGUUCAACUGUAGAAAGGCCUCUAAAUGAACAGCUAAUUAACCAAAAACAUUACAGUAUAAUGCAUAACUAAUAGGCAUUUAAUCAAAGAGCAGUACCAGCCCUGCACAUGUGCACUCUGCACUGAACACCCAGCCACAGAUAGGGCAGCGCAGUCAGGCACUGACUGCAGGUCCUCUGAGAGCAGCCAUCAGUCAGAGACUCAGACAUGUGGCCCUGCAGUCCACUACAGCAGGAUGCUGCGAAUCAGCUCACUGUUUCCACUUGAUUAGGCAGCGACACGAGUCAAAUGCUCGAAUGAAAACAGGUGCUGCUGCGUUACAUUUUAACCUUAUUCCUGUACCCUGUUUAGUUGGCCAUAUGUUUGAUCUUAAAGACAUUUUAGCCAAAAGGGAUGAAUUCAGGCUUUUUCAGUGAUUUUUCUCUGUCCCCAGCACUCAUUAUCAGCAAAUACAGUCAAAUAAUACCAAACAGACACAUAGAUGGCAACGAUGCAUCCACUGCAGAGUGACACAGAGGCAGAAACAUCUGCACACACGAUCAAUAUUUCAUUACAGAAUGUGGCGCCUUCCGUACAAUAUGGUAAAAAGAAUUGCCUUACAGACAAUGCCCACAGGAGCUGACCCAAAUACAGCACUGAUACAACUGUUAUGACAGAUACAAGUGGUUAAUACAGCUCUUCUGUCAAAUAUUGGCAUGACCUAACUCAACAAAUUGGGUAACAGUGUGUGUCCAUUUUAAAUCACAUGACUUGCAGAAUGACUGCAGGCGAAAUGCAAAAUGAGAGGACAAGAGGGGGAAAUCUCAUUAGGGAUGUUAAGAACAUUGAAUAGGGAUACAAUUACAGAUGGCACACGGCUUUAAAGAGCUGCUAACCCUGAAGGAAUUUCAUUAGUCUGGGUUUCGGUGAAGUUUAGUGUCCCAGGACACUUGACAAUUGGUUUGGCAAUAUUUAUGUGUGCCACUGCCACUGAUUGGUGUUUUAUUAUCCAACAUUAACACAGUUGAUCCAGGACAUACGGGGAAGUGUUUUAAUGGAAUAUCUGAAAUACCUUGACAAAUAAUGGAUAACAGUUUGCUUCCCAGAAGAUCAACCUUAAUGAAUCUAGUGAUCCCUUGACUUUCCUUUAACACAGUGGUUCUUAAACUUUUCAGAAGCAGAAAAAAGUUCACACUGACCAUCCCACAAUGUUCUUGCAAUCCUUAUCAAUAGGGGAAGCAAAACUAAUAAAAAAAAGGAUCCAGGAAUUGUAGAGAAAUAAAGGUCAGCACUUACUUACUGUGCGUCUCUGUCUGUCUCUGUCUGUCUGUCUGUCUGUCUGUCUCU